AGAGAAUGGUCUCGAAGUAACUUCUCGCCAAAAUGAAGUUUAAUCCCUUUGUGACUUCCCACCGAAGCAAGAAUCGCAAAAGGCAUUUCAAUGCACCUUCCCACAUUCGAAGGAAGAUUACGUCUUCCCCUCUUUCCAAAGAGCUGAGACAGAAGUACAACGUGCAAUCCAUGCCCAUCUGAAAGGAUGAUGAAGUUCAGGU
rnacentral:lncRNA from 1 species